UACGUAGGGGGCUAGCGUUGUCCGGAAUCAUUGGGCGUAAAGCGCGCGUAGGCGGCCAGAUAAGUCCGGUGUGAAAGUCACAGGCUCAACCUGUGAAUGCCGCUGGAAACUGCCUGGCUUGAGUCCGGAAGGGGCGAGUGGAAUUCCUGGUGUAGCGGUGAAAUGCGCAGAUAUCAGGAGGAACACCAAUGGCGAAGGCAGCUCGCUGGAACGGUACUGACGCUGAGGAGCGAAAGCGUGGGGAGCGAACAGG
rnacentral:rRNA from 1 species